UUCGGGUAGAGUGCACUGGAAGUUCGGGUGUUCGGCGUGUGUUUGGCGUUUCGUUUACCUACGAUGUCCGCGCCCUUUGCCUCACUGUGACCUGGUAUAUUCCCACUUGUUGCUCGCUUUUUACGGGCUUCUUGUUGCCUCGAAGAUCAUCAUGAUUGCCUCCGACGCAGCCACAUCAAAGAUUCAGAGGCCACAGCCAGAACGGGAAAGGUUCACAUAGGUUGGAGGAAUGCUCGUUGAUAAGAAGAUCCUGGCACAGUUUACCAUGGCCUGCCAUGGUGGACCAGGCAAGCUUGCAAGCGUCUUGCUUCACCGUGCGUUCACAGAGGAAGACCUCAUGGGCCACUCACUCUUUGGAAACAACACCAAGGGGUAAAAAGAGGCUCUUGACCCCGUCAGGGUCAAGGCUGGUAAUGGCAAGUAGCGUACAUCCUUCCCAUUGAAUUUUUGCAUCCACAUUUCGUAUUUUAAAUUAUCAACUUGACAUUAGCAAAACAAUAGACUUUCAAGUAGCCUGUAUCAGCAAUUGCGUGCUACAAUAGCCUACCAUUUGGAAUGACUGUUCAUAUGAUCUUAACUGCCUGACGCCUCCAUACUCGAAUGCUGUUAAAUUUUAAAGGCAGCCUCAACUGCCAGAUGUUUUUGGCGGCUUCACCAGACAAAAUUAUGUGCAU